GAGCCCGUAGCUCAUUGGUAGAGCGUUUGACUCAAUAACAAAAUGUUGCGGGUUCGAAUCCCAGACGUGCCCA
rnacentral:tRNA from 1 species